AUUGAACGCUGGCGGCAUGCUUUACACAUGCAAGUCGAACGGUAACAGGCCGCAAGGUGCUGACGAGUGGCGAACGGGUGAGUAAUGCAUCGGAACGUGCCCAGUCGUGGGGGAUAACGCAGCGAAAGCUGCGCUAAUACCGCAUACGAUCUAUGGAUGAAAGCGGGGGACCGUAAGGCCUCGCGCGAUUGGAGCGGCCGAUGUCAGAUUAGGUAGUUGGUGGGGUAAAGGCUCACCAAGCCGACGAUCUGUAGCUGGUCUGAGAGGACGACCAGCCACACUGGGACUGAGACACGGCCCAGACUCCUACGGGAGGCAGCAGUGGGGAAUUUUGGACAAUGGGCGCAAGCCUGAUCCAGCAAUGCCGCGUGCAGGAAGAAGGCCUUCGGGUUGUAAACUGCUUUUGUACGGAACGAAAAGGCUCUGGUUAAUACCUGGGGCUCAUGACGGUACCGUAAGAAUAAGCACCGGCUAACUACGUGCCAGCAGCCGCGGUAAAAC
rnacentral:rRNA from 1 species